AACGAACGCUGGCGGCAGGCCUAACACAUGCAAGUCGAACGAAGCCUUCGGGCUUAGUGGCGGACGGGUGAGUAACGCGUGGGAACGUGCCCUUUGGUUCGGAAUAGCCCCGGGAAACUGGGAGUAAUACCGGAUGAGCCCUUCGGGGGAAAGAUUUAUCGCCAAAGGAUCGGCCCGCGUUGGAUUAGGUAGUUGGUGGGGUAAUGGCCUACCAAGCCGACGAUCCAUAGCUGGUUUGAGAGGAUGAUCAGCCACACUGGGACUGAGACACGGCCCAGACUCCUACGGGAGGCAGCAGUGGGGAAGCUUAGACAAUGGGGGAAACCCUGAUCUAGCCAUGCCGCGUGAUCGAUGAAGGCCUUAGGGUUGUAAAGAUCUUUCAGUGGGGAAGAUAAUGACGGUACCCACAGAAGAAGCCCCGGCUAACUCCGUGCUAGCAGCCGCCGCGGUAA
rnacentral:rRNA from 1 species